AAAGGAGUUUAAAGCAUCUCUUGUAAAAUAGGAGAAGGAGGGGUGAACACCGAAAUUUAUUGGUAGCACUUAGCAAAUCAGCAUUAUCCAAUAAUGGCUUAGAAAUAUCAUUUUCAUGUCAGUGUAUGAUUUGAAUUACUGGUGAAUUAUAGGGGAAUCAAUGCAACUCUGUGAACCCUUCCCCAAUGAUUUUGCUGGGUUAAAGCAUUUAGCAUUC